rnacentral:rRNA from 1 species
CGGAGGAUCCAAGCGUUAUCCGGAAUCAUUGGGUUUAAAGGGUCCGUAGGCGGUCUUGUAAGUCAGUGGUGAAAGCCCAUCGCUCAACGGUGGAACGGCCAUUGAUACUGCAGGACUUGAAUUAUUAGGAAGUAACUAGAAUAUGUAGUGUAGCGGUGAAAUGCUUAGAUAUUACAUGGAAUACCAAUUGCGAAGGCAGGUUACUACUAAUUGAUUGACGCUGAUGGGCGAAAGCGUGGGGAGCGAACAGGAUUAGAUACCCUGGUAGUCCACGCCGUAAACGAUGGAUACUAGCUGUUGGGGGCAACUUCAGUGGCUAAGCGAAAGUGAUAAGUAUCCCACCUGGGGAGUACGUUCGCAAGAAUG